rfam:Myotis brandtii contig279459, whole genome shotgun sequence.
UAUAUGGUCUUUCUAAAGACCAUAUAAUAUCAAAAAGUCAAGAGAAU